rnacentral:rRNA from 1 species
CUGACCCUUUAAGGGUCCUGAAGGAACGUUGAAGACGACGACGUUGAUAGGCCGGGUGUGUAAGCGCAGCGAUGCGUUGAGCUAACCGGUACUAAUGAACCGUGAGGCUUAACCUUACAACGCCGAAGGUGUUU